rnacentral:rRNA from 1 species
GUGCGAGCCUGAUCCAGCCAUGCCGCGUGCAGGAAGACGGCCUUCUGGGUUGUAAACUGCUUUUGCCAGGRRAUAAAAAGUCCCUGCGGSGAAAAUUGAAGGUACCUGGUGAAUAAGCCACGGCUAACUACGUGCCAGCAGCCGCGGUAAUACGUAGGUGGCAAGCGUUGUCCGGAUUUAUUGGGUUUAAAGGGUGCGUAGGCGGUCAURUAAGUCAGUGGUGAAAUCCGGCAGCUCAACUGUCGAUGUGCCAUUGAUACUGCAUGACUUGAGUACAGACGAGGUAGGCGGAAUUGACGGUGUAGCGGUGAAAUGCUUAGAUAUCGUCAAGAACACCGAUAGCGAAGGCAGCUUACUAGACUGUAACUGACGCUGAUGCACGAAAGUGUGGGGAUCAAACAGGAUUAGAUACCCUGGUAGUCCACACUGUAAACGAUGAUUACUCGAUGUUGGCGAUACACAGCCAGCGUCUUAGCGAAAGCGAUAAGUAAUCCACCUGGGGAGUACGCCCGCAAGG